rnacentral:rRNA from 1 species
GACUCCAUGAAGCUGGAUUCGCUGGUAAUCGCGCAUCAGCCACGGCGCGGUGAAUACGUUCCCGGGCCUUGUACACACCGCCCGUCAAGCCAUGGAAGCCGGGGGUGCCUGAAGUGCGCUGCCGCAAGGAGCGCCCUAGGGUAAAACCGGUGACUGGGGCUAAGUCGUAACAAGGUAGC